rnacentral:tRNA from 2 species
UUCUUGUAGUUAAGGUUUGUUUAACGGCAGCUUUUCAAGCUGCAGA